GUUCGAUCCACGCACUAUACGAUACCCCAAGUCGUCGGUAUGGACAAUGCCAGAUCAUCUGGCCCAAUUCAGCCAUUAUUGGCUCCACAGGCCACUGGACAAGGAAGUGCAGGCACGCAUAUGAACAGAAUGCCCCCGCCCCCUCCUCCUCCCAGACAAGGUGGCUAUCACUCCAGUAUUUGACACCACGGUAGUGGUUUUCAU